UCUUCACCGCCUUCACUGGUUCUGAUUUGAAAGAGAGGUAGAUCUGGGUAUCAUCCACAUACUGCUAACACCCAGCCCAAGGAUCAAGGAGACAGAUGGUUGGUUUCACUGGUCCAAGUAGCCUAUCCACAUCCUCAGAGGAAAUGGAAGACUCAACCCCACAGCUACAUGGGCAUGCAGAUAUUGACUCUUGGUUCACGUUUCCUUAAGACCACACUCUUCUUCAUUCCACCUUCCAACCAUGUAUGUGUAUAUGCCUCCCAAUUUAGAAUAACACUUCUGGCCCAUGAAAUAUUAUGUGAUAAGAAAUUGUUAGUCUUUAAGCUACUCCAGGACUCUUUGUUGUCUUUGGCUACUCCCUAUGCUGAGGCCUCAUUUGGGCAGUUUUGGGGUGCUCCAUCAUUACUGAGGGUUUUUUCUGCUUCUGCAAACCUUUAGGUUUCCCCAAACCUAUUGAUAUCUCCCUCAUUUGUGUAGAUAGUGCCGUUUUGGCAACAUAAAGAAUGGUGCUUGAAUAAUUCAUAUUUACUUAUAGUAAAAAUAAAAAUAAAAAGGUAAAGGACCCCUGGAUGGUUAAGUCCAGUCAAAGGUGACUAUGGGUUGUGGUGCUCAUCUUGCUUUCAGGC